UUUAUGAGCUCUUCAAGAUUGGGCCUUGCCCUUUGUGUUUUCAUUUCUGAAGCCUGGAAUAUCACUCAGCACAAAAUAUACACUCAAUAAAGGUUUUCCUGGCCAGAUCAGCCUCCCCAACUAGACUGUGAGCUUCUUAAAGCAGGAAUUGUUAUAAUUAUUUUCACUGCCAAACUCGGCAUCUGGCAUAUCGUAUGCACUCAGGGAAUGUCUACGGAAUGAAUGAACUUAAGGAUAAUACACGUGACAGAAUGUUAAAAUGGAAGUUUUGGCUGAGAUCUAAAGAUGACAGAUAUAAGAUACCAAAGCGAACUGGAAACAGACCACCCUGAAGAAUGUGCAAGAAGGGUGCCUGAGGACCCAUUAAUCAACUCUUAAACCUUUCAUUGACGUGGAAGUUCAGACAGAGAUGGAUUUUUAGGAAAGAGCUAUUGGUUUAUUGUACAUCAGGCCUCCUUCCAGGGUGAAGUAUGAAGGGAUUCUCUCUCUUCAGGAGUCAGGAGGACACAGACCAGCAGAGAAUCUGCUGCAUGUCCCUGAGGUUGUGGCACAUGGUGGCUUGUGUGUGACUCCUGUCUGGAAGAGACAGGCUGGCUGACAGCUGCAGUACGUAAAAGUGAAGUAGAAGUUACCCUGGGAUCAACCAGCACUGCCAGAGUCUGUCCAGAUCCCAAAGACAAAGAUUUCCCAUAGACCCCAAGUAGCCCAUGUGUGAGAGAGCUGCCAGGGGUACUCAGAUCCUGUCCAACAUGGCCGCCUAACGAGGUGG
rnacentral:antisense_RNA from 1 species